UACGGGAGGCAGCAGUGGGGAAUCUUAGACAAUGGGCGCAAGCCUGAUCUAGCCAUGCCGCGUGAUCGAUGAAGGCCUUAGGGUUGUAAAGAUCUUUCGUGGGGGAAGAUAAUGACGGUACCCCAAGAAGAAGCCCCGGCUAACUCCGUGCCAGCAGCCGCGGUAAUACGGAGGGGGCUAGCGUUAUUCGGAAUUACUGGGCGUAAAGCGCACGUAGGCGGAUUGGAAAGUCAGAGGUGAAAUCCCAGAGCUCAACUUUGGAACUGCCUUUGAAACUCCCAGUCUUGAGGUCGAGAGAGGUGAGUGGAAUUCCGAGUGUAGAGGUGAAAUUCGUAGAUAUUCGGAGGAACACCAGUGGCGAAGGCGGCUCACUGGCUCGAUACUGACGCUGAGGUGCGAAAGCGUGGGGAGCAAACAGGAUUAGAUACUCUGGUAGUCCACGCCGUAAACGAUGAAUGCCAGUCGUCGGGUAGCAUGCUAUUCGGUGACACACCUAACGGAUUAAGCAUUCCGCCUGGGGAGUACGGCCGCAAGGUUAAACUCAAAUGAAUUGACGG
rnacentral:rRNA from 1 species